GCGGAGGAGGCGGCUCCCGCGCUCGCAGGGCCGUGCCACCUGCCCGCCCGCCCGCUCGCUCGCUCGCCCGCCGCGCCGCGCUGCCGACCGCCAGCAUGCUGCCGAGAGUGGGCUGCCCCGCGCUGCCGCUGCCGCCGCCGCCGCUGCUGCCGCUGCUGCUGCUGCUACUGGGCGCGAGUGGCGGCGGCGGCGGGGCACGCGCGGAGGUGCUGUUCCGCUGCCCGCCCUGCACACCCGAGCGCCUGGCCGCCUGCGGGCCCCCGCCGGUUGCGCCGCCCGCCGCGGUGGCCGCGGUGGCCGGAGGCGCCCGCAUGCCAUGCGCGGAGCUCGUCCGGGAGCCGGGCUGCGGCUGCUGCUCGGUGUGCGCCCGGCUGGAGGGCGAGGCGUGCGGCGUCUACACCCCGCGCUGCGGCCAGGGGCUGCGCUGCUAUCCCCACCCGGGCUCCGAGCUGCCCCUGCAGGCGCUGGUCAUGGGCGAGGGCACUUGUGAGAAGCGCCGGGACGCCGAGUAUGGCGCCAGCCCGGAGCAGGUUGCAGACAAUGGCGAUGACCACUCAGAAGGAGGCCUGGUGGAGAACCACGUGGACAGCACCAUGAACAUGUUGGGCGGGGGAGGCAGUGCUGGCCGGAAGCCCCUCAAGUCGGGUAUGAAGGAGCUGGCCGUGUUCCGGGAGAAGGUCACUGAGCAGCACCGGCAGAUGGGCAAGGGUGGCAAACAUCACCUUGGCCUGGAGGAGCCCAAGAAGCUGCGACCACCCCCUGCCAGGGUCAGUGAGGGUCAGGUCUGGUGGAAGGGGUGGGAGGACAAGGAAAGUGGGGUCUCAGCUGGAGGAGGGCAUCCUAAUAAGACCCUCAUCUGGUGUGACCUGUAGGCAAAGCACUUUUCUUUCCACAAACAUAGUUGUGGAACAUAGUUAGUGACCUUUGGGGCAGUCAGGAUCUCUGGCUGUGAAAUAGACUGGACAUGUGGUUUCUUGAUGUUCUUUCCUUCUAAAACCUUCACAUUUCUGUAUGGUUUUGGAACAUAGACACAGAAAAUGAAUCCCAGAGAUGAAGACAGAGUCCCUAAAACUUGCUUACUCUUUUUUUUUCCUCCCCCUGAGAUGGGGUCUCACUCUGUUGCCCAGGCUGGAGUGUAAUGGUGCCAUCACACCUCACUGCUGCCUCCAACUCCUGGGCUCAAGUGAUCCUCCUUCCUCAGCCUCCUGAACAGCUGGGACUAUAGGCAUGCACCACACCUGGCCAAUUUUGUAUUUUUUGGUGGAAAUGUGGGUCUCACUAUGUUGUCCAGGCUGGUCUCAAACUCCUGGACUCAAGCAAUCCUCCCACCUCGGCCUCCCGAAGCGCUGGGAUUACAGGCGCCAGCCACUGCGCCUGGCCUGAAACUCAGUCAGUCUUGUUGCCAUAUGCUUCUCUCACUGAGCUACCCCUCCCCUCUUUCCUGCCCAGCUCUGCCAUCUUGGGUCCUGGCCCUGGUUGGUUUUAUGGAAAGAAGUGGAGCUUGGGCAUGGGGUGGGGGCAUAGAGACUCGAGACGGCCACUUGGAUGGAUAUUUGGAGGCAGAGCCCAUUCUGACACAUGAAAGCCACGGUCACAGAACAAGGAGAGGAGUGAACAUUCCCAUCCAUACAAUUUUCUUUAGGGGCUGGGGUUGGGCACCCAACAUGGCAGGGAGAUCCCCGGGCAGGCUGUCAGAAGUCCCUGUGCCCCCUGCUGGCUGUGUGACCAUGGGAAAGUCCCCUCCCUGUGCAGCAGCUUCUCCCUGAGCUUGUGUCUGGCGCGUGCUUCGUGGGCCUGCUGUCCUCACUUCCGGCGUCCCCUGCUGUCUGUGCGUGCAGACUCCCUGCCAACAGGAACUGGACCAGGUCCUGGAGCGGAUCUCCACCAUGCGCCUUCCGGAUGAGCGGGGCCCUCUGGAGCACCUCUACUCCCUGCACAUCCCCAACUGUGACAAGCAUGGCCUGUACAACCUCAAACAGGUGAGCAUGGUGCCAGCCUGGGCCGGAGCAGCUCCUCCUCAGCCCUGGGCCCCAGAUGUGCCUUGUUUCUGCCCCACCCGCCUAUGAUCCUCUGAGGUCUGAGCUGAGUGAGAGACUCAGACUCCUGUCACCAUGGGGAUUGGGGUGCCAGCUGCCAGGCCGGGGAGGGUGCAGCUCUUCUCCCUGCCUCCGACGGGUGAGUUGUUGGCUCCACUUGCCCAGCCGCCCACCGGCCUCACUUGGAGUCCAGGUUGGGAGGAGACUCUUGGAGAAGGGAAGUGGCUUAAACCAAGCAUCUUUGCUUUGAUCGGACAUUGACAUCACCUGGAGCUCUUCCUGGGCCCGCCCCCAAAUUGCCAUGUGGUAGGUCAGGUUUACAGCUCUAACAAGCCUCAGGUGAGGCUCAUAAUCUGCGAGCCACACUCCCACCAUCAUUGAUUUCAACCACUGGCCGAGUUGUCUUCAUGGUUUCGAAGUAUCUCAGGGAAUGAAGAGUCAGGGAUGGAGAAAUGCCGUUGGAAAGAUUCUGAAAAGCCAUCUAGAACACCAUUGUAAAUACAUUGGAGAAAAUGAAGUUUAAGUAAACCACUCAGGAGCCCUUCUCCCUCCUCUUUCCACCUAAUGUUCAUAUACAUUUUAACAGUCAGUGUGCAUAUGCAAUAUUUUCCCUGUAACAUACUUUUUUUUUUUUUUUUUUUUUUUUUGAGACAGAGUCUCGCUCUUGUCUCCCAGGCUGGAGUGCAGUGGCGCGAUCUCAGCUCACUGCAACCUCCGCCUGCCGUGUUCAAGCAAUUCUCCUGCCUCAGCCUCCUGAGUAGCUGGGAUUACAGGUGCCUGCCACCAUGCCUGGCUAAUUUUUGUAUUUUUAGUAGAGAUGGGGUUUACCAUGUUGGCCAGGCUGGUCUUGAACUCCUAACCUCAGAUGAUCCACCCACCUCGACCUCCCAAAGUGCUGGGAUUACGGGCAUGAGCCACCACACCUGGCUGGGCAUUGGGAUUUUUAUAAAGCUACCCUGGUGGUUCUAAUGGCAGUCUGGGCUGACCUAAAGUGUGGAUGUGUGAAGCCAGGACAUGGGAACAGGGCUCUGCUGAUGGCUUAGGGGUCUCACCUCUCCACCCCCUUCACCAUCCAGGCACCUUGACCCUCUAAAUAUUAGUUUAGUAUUAAAAGCUAUUUGUGUACAUGCCCCCAAAUGUAAGCUGGCUAACUCCAUUUGGAGCUCAGAAGAAAAAGUCUCGAUCACUUCUCGUGGAAAACAGGCUGUCUGCUGCACCUUUGGGUAACUAAGGUGAUUUGCAGGAGUAGUUAGCUUAUGCAUUAAAACAGAGACCUUGGAGUGGGAAUGCCUGGCUUCCAUCUCAGCUGUGCUUCUUACCAGCUGUGUGACCUUGGGCAAGUUGCUUAGCCCAUCUGUGCUUCAGUUUUAUCACCUGUAAACCAGGGAUAAUAAUGGCAUCUAAUUCACAAAGUGGUUGUGAGGAUUAAAUGACUAUAUUUGUUAGAAACUGAACUAGCAGUGUGUCUUUUGCUCACACAGUGCCUGGCACACACUGAUUUUGAUUGCAACAUGAGGUUUUACACCUGACGCUAUGACUAAGCUUCAGUAUGCUGGGUCCCCCCCACUGGAUGGGACCUCCUUGAGGCUGGGGACUGAGUCUUUUCAUCUUCGGGUGUCCUGAAUGGCCUUGCUAAUCAGAGGGGUCCCUGGGCGGGCAGCAUCAGCAUCACGUUGGAGCUCGCUAGCGAUGCAGAAUUUCCAGCUCUCCAGGGACCUACUGCAUAGGAAUCUGCAUUUUAUCAAGGUUUCCUGGCGCAUAUUUGAAGUUGCGAAGCUCCACCCGGCAGCGCGUGGGUAGCUGCGAGGGGUGGCUGCUCAGUGGACGCCGGGUUGAGGGACGGAAGGAAAGUUGCUGGCUGCGGGCUCCUCCAUGCUCUUCUCCUCUCUCCCCAGUGCAAGAUGUCUCUGAACGGGCAGCGUGGGGAGUGCUGGUGUGUGAACCCCAACACCGGGAAGCUGAUCCAGGGAGCCCCCACCAUCCGGGGGGACCCCGAGUGUCAUCUCUUCUACAAUGAGCAGCAGGAGGCUCGCGGGGUGCACACCCAGCGGAUGCAGUAGACCGCAGCCAGCCGGUGCCUGGCGCCCCCGCCCCCCGCCCCUCUCCAAACACCGGCAGAAAACGGAGAGUGCUUGGGUGGUGGGUGCUGGAGGAUUUUCCAGUUCUGACACACGUAUUUAUAUUUGGAAAGAGACCAGCACCGAGCUCGGCACCUCCCCGGCCUCUCUCUUCCCAGCUGCAGAUGCCACACCUGCUCCUUCUUGCUUUCCCCGGGGGAGGAAGGGGGUUGUGGUCGGGGAGCUGGGGUACAGGUUUGGGGAGGGGGAAGAGAAAUUUUUAUUUUUGAACCCCUGUGUCCCUUUUGCAUAAGAUUAAAGGAAGGAAAAGU
rnacentral:sRNA from 1 species